rnacentral:lncRNA from 1 species
UAUGGAAAAAACAAAACAUAAAAGAGAAAGAAUUCCUGCCCCGUGUGUGUGUGUGUGUGUGUGUGUGUGUGUGUGUGUGUGUGUGUGUGUGCAUGUGUGUGUGUGUGUGUGUGUGUGUGUGAAAUUAAAAUGUGCUCAUUUUAUAAAGUCUCUAAGUUUAUUCCUUUAUUGAGAUGUACUCUCAGCAGGUUUUCCAACUAGGCCAGGAACAACUGGACUCAGGUUAUCCUCUCACUUUAGAGUGCAAAGUAGCCAGAGAGUAAACAGGGAGUACCAACAUACUGAUUAGAAGUUGUGGGUGUCUACAUAUCUGAGCAGAGAUAUGUAGAUGGUACAGUAGUACAAUAUAGGAAAAUCUUGGAAGAGAAAGUCAGAGAAAUAGAGAAGAAAAAAUCCACGGGAUCAGAUGAGUGAGUGUAUCUGUUGUCAGAAUUUUUAGGUUCAGAUACUGCUAACCAUCUUUGAGACCAAUUAAAGAGACAAAUAAUAGCAAGAAGUAGAAAAAAAGAGAUUUCUUUCAAUGUGCCCACAUUGGGAAGAGGAACAAAGAUCAGUGACUAGAUCUCCUCAAGUCCAUCUUUAGAUUUCUGACAUGAAGUUUAUGUUCAAGUACAAGACAACAGAUAUUCAGCACUAAGUAGUCCAGGUCUAGGAAUGUUCCUUGUUAUUACUGACCCAUCAUUGUCUUGGCUCCAGUAUCUAAUGUAAGGUGGCAUGAUGAGUUGUCAGAACUAUGAGAAAUAUUUUCCAGGAUAAAAGCUUCUGAUAUAAGGUGUCAGGCUUGUCCAUUUCCCAGUAUGGGGUUCCUGGGGAAAUUCUAUUCUUUUCUUUUUAAGUUUAUUUGUAUUCUAUGUGUGAGCAUUUUGUUUACAUCUAUAUCUGUGCACCACCCAUGUGUUCUGUGCCCACAGAAGCCCAAAAAUGGCAUCAAAUCUCUUGAAACUGGUAUCAUUAAUGGCUGUGAACUACCAUUUGGGUACUGGAAGAUAAUCCUGGGUCUUUUGCAAGAACAGCAAAGCUCUUUUUUUUUUUUUGAGUUGAGUGAGAGAUUUAUUAGUGAAGUGAACACAAUGUACAGCACACAGCACAACCAGAGAGCUGCAGACACCAGUGCAAAGGGUAUGAAAGCUUCUGAAUCAUCAAUCAUUUCACAGUAAGGAUGGGACAUUGUGAGCUGAAAUCAAUCAAGUAUAAACAAAAAGAAAUAUACAAAGAAUCAACAAAACCAAGAGUUGGUUCUUUGAGAAAAUCGAAAAUAUAGAUAAACCCUUAGCCAGACUCAUUAGAGGGCCAGACUAACCAGGAGGCACAGAAACAGUACUUGAACUAACAAAAUCAGAAAUGAAAAGGGAGAUAUCUCUCAACAACAGAAACCAAGG